GGCCUAACACCUGCAAGUCGAGCGGAUGACGGGAGCUUGCUCCUUGAUUCAGCGGCGGACGGGUGAGUAAUGCCUAGGAAUCUGCCUGGUAGUGGGGGACAACGUUUCGAAAGGAACGCUAAUACCGCAUACGUCCUACGGGAGAAAGCAGGGGACCUUCGGGCCUUGCGCUAUCAGAUGAGCCUAGGUCGGAUUAGCUUGUUGGUGAGGUAAUGGCUCACCAAGGCGACGAUCCGUAACUGGUCUGAGAGGAUGAUCAGUCACACUGGAACUGAGACACGGUCCAGACUCCUACGGGAGGCAGCAGUGGGGAAUAUUGGACAAUGGGCGAAAGCCUGAUCCAGCCAUGCCGCGUGUGUGAAGAAGGUCUUCGGAUUGUAAAGCACUUUAAGUUGGGAGGAAGGGCAGUAAGGUAAUACCUUGCUGUUUUGACGUUACCGACAGAAUAAGCACCGGCUAACUCUGUGCCAGCAGCCGCGGUAA
rnacentral:rRNA from 1 species